rnacentral:rRNA from 1 species
CUUUCUCCGCCGGCGACCGGCGCACGGGUGAGUAACACGUAUGCAACCUGCCCCUGUCAGGGGGACAACCCGCCGAAAGGCGGGCUAAACCCGCGUACAUGCCACCGGGGCAUCCCGGAGGCAGGAAAGGCUUCGGCCGGACAGGGAUGGGCAUGCGGCGUAUUAGGCAGUAGGCGGGGUAACGGCCCACCUAACCGACGAUGCGUAGGGGUUCUGAGAGGAAGGUCCCCCACACUGGUACUGAGACACGGACCAGACUCCUACGGAAGGCAGCAG